rnacentral:rRNA from 1 species
AGAGUUUGAUCAUGGCUCAGAGCGAACGCUGGCGGCAGGCCUAACACAUGCAAGUCGAGCGCCCCGCAAGGGGAGCGGCAGACGGGAGAGUAACACGUGGGAACGUACCCUUCAGUUCGGAACAACCCAGGGAAACUUGGGCUAAUACCGAAUACGUCCGUAAGGAGAAAGAUUUAUCGCUGAAGGAUCGGCCCGCGUCUGGUUAGCUUGUUGGUGAGGUAACGGCUCACCAAGGCGACGAUCAGUAGCUGGUCUGAGAGGAUGAUCAGCCUCACUGGGACUGAGACACGGCCCAGACUCCUACGGGAGGCAGCAGUGGGGAAUAUUGGACAAUGGGCGCAAGCCUGAUCCAGCCAUGCCGCGUGGAUGAUGAAGGCCCUAGGGUUGUAAAGUCCUUUCGGCGGGGAAGAUAAUGACGGUACCCGCAGAAGAAGCCCCGGCUAACUUCGUGCCAGCAGCCGCGGUAAUACGAAGGGGGCUAGCGUUGCUCGGAAUCACUGGGCGUAAAGCGCACGUAGGCGGCUUUUUAAGUCAGGGGUGAAAUCCUGGAGCUCAACUCCAGAACUGCCUUUGAUACUGAGAAGCUUGAGUCCGGGAGAGGUGAGUGGAACUGCGAGUGUAGAGGUGAAAUUCGUAGAUAUUCGCAAGAACACCAGUGGCGAAGGCGGCUCACUGGCCCGGUACUGACGCUGAGGUGCGAAAGCGUGGGGAGCAAACAGGAUUAGAUACCCUAGUAGUCC